GACCUGUUAUAUCAGUUGGUUAGAUAGUUUGAUUCCAACGUUUACACGUGAACAAUCAAAAAGUCAUCCGUUCAAAUCGGGUACGGGUCG